GCAGACGGGUGCUAUACUUGCAGUCGAGCGGACAGAUGGGAGCUUGCUCCCUGAUGUUAGCGGCGGACGGGUGAGUAACACGUGGGUAACCUGCCUGUAAGACUGGGAUAACUCCGGGAAACCGGGGCUAAUACCGGAUGGUUGUCUGAACCGCAUGGUUCAGACAUAAAAGGUGGCUUCGGCUACCACUUACAGAUGGACCCGCGGCGCAUUAGCUAGUUGGUGAGGUAACGGCUCACCAAGGCGACGAUGCGUAGCCGACCUGAGAGGGUGAUCGGCCACACUGGGACUGAGACACGGCCCAGACUCCUACGGGAGGCAGCAGUAGGGAAUCUUCCGCAAUGGACGAAAGUCUGACGGAGCAACGCCGCGUGAGUGAUGAAGGUUUUCGGAUCGUAAAGCUCUGUUGUUAGGGAAGAACAAGUGCCGUUCAAAUAGGGCGGCACCUUGACGGUACCUAACCAGAAAGCCACGGCUAACUACGUGCCAGCAGCCGCGGUAAUACGUAGGUGGCAAGCGUUGUCCGGAAUUAUUGGGCGUAAAGGGCUCGCAGGCGGUUUCUUAAGUCUGAUGUGAAAGCCCCCGGCUCAACCGGGGAGGGUCAUUGGAAACUGGGGAACUUGAGUGCAGAAGAGGAGAGUGGAAUUCCACGUGUAGCGGUGAAAUGCGUAGAGAUGUGGAGGAACACCAGUGGCGAAGGCGACUCUCUGGUCUGUAACUGACGCUGAGGAGCGAAAGCGUGGGGAGCGAACAGGAUUAGAUACCCUGGUAGUCCACGCCGUAAACGAUGAGUGCUAAGUGUUAGGGGGUUUCCGCCCCUUAGUGCUGCAGCUAACGCAUUAAGCACUCCGCCUGGGGAGUACGGUCGCAAGACUGAAACUCAAAGGAAUUGACGGGGGCCCGCACAAGCGGUGGAACAUGUGGUUUAAUUCGAAGCAACGCGAAGAA
rnacentral:rRNA from 1 species